AUUGAACGCUGGCGUCAGGCCUAACACAUGCAAGUCGAGCGGAGCGGCGGACGGGUGAGUAAUGCCUAGGAAUCUGCCUGGUAGUGAGGGAUCACGUCCGGAAACGGGCGCUAAUACCGCAUACUAUCACAUGAGCCUAGGUCGGAUUAGCUAGUUGGUGUGGUAAAGGCUUACCAAGGCGACGAUGCGUAACUGGUCGGAGAGGAUGAUCAUUUACAGUGGAAUGAUGAAACGGGCCAGACUCGUGCGGGAGGCAUCAGUGGUGAAUAUUGGACAAUGGGCGAAAUCCUGAUCCAGCCAAGCCGCGUGUGUGAAGAAGGUCUUCGGAUUGUUAAGCACUUUAAGUUGGGAGGCGUUACCAACAGAAAAAGCACCGGCGAACUUCGUUGCAGCAGCCGCGGUAAUAC
rnacentral:rRNA from 1 species